GUCCAUGCCGUAAACGUUGGGAACUAGAUGUAGGGCCUGUUCCACGGGUUCUGUGUCGUAGCUAACGCAUUAAGUUCCCCGCCGUGGGGGAGUACGGCCGCAAGGCUAAAACUCAAAGGAAUUGACGGGGGCCCGCACAAGCGGCGGAGCAUGCGGAUUAAUUCGAUGCAACGCGAAGAACCUUACCAAGGCUUGACAUAUAGCAGAACACCGCAGAGAUGCGGGACUCUUUGGACACUGUUAUACAGGUGGUGCAUGGUUGUCGU
rnacentral:rRNA from 1 species